CCAUGCAGUCGAACGAUGAACCACUUCGGUGGGGAUUAGUGGCGAACGGGUGAGUAACACGUGGGCAAUCUGCCCUUCACUCUGGGACAAGCCCUGGAAACGGGGUCUAAUACCGGAUACCACUCUCGCAGGCAUCUGUGAGGGUUGAAAGCUCCGGCGGUGAAGGAUGAGCCCGCGGCCUAUCAGCUUGUUGGUGAGGUAAUGGCUCACCAAGGCGACGACGGGUAGCCGGCCUGAGAGGGCGACCGGCCACACUGGGACUGAGACACGGCCCAGACUCCUACGGGAGGCAGCAGUGGGGAAUAUUGCACAAUGGGCGAAAGCCUGAUGCAGCGACGCCGCGUGAGGGAUGACGGCCUUCGGGUUGUAAACCUCUUUCAGCAGGGAAGAAGCGAAAGUGACGGUACCUGCAGAAGAAGCGCCGGCUAACUACGUGCCAGCAGCCGCGGUAAUACGUAGGGCGCAAGCGUUGUCCGGAAUUAUUGGGCGUAAAGAGCUCGUAGGCGGCUUGUCACGUCGGGUGUGAAAGCCCGGGGCUUAACCCCGGGUCUGCAUUCGAUACGGGCUAGCUAGAGUGUGGUAGGGGAGAUCGGAAUUCCUGGUGUAGCGGUGAAAUGCGCAGAUAUCAGGAGGAACACCGGUGGCGAAGGCGGAUCUCUGGGCCAUUACUGACGCUGAGGAGCGAAAGCGUGGGGAGCGAACAGGAUUAGAUACCCUGGUAGUCCACGCCGUAAACGGUGGGAACUAGGUGUUGGCGACAUUCCACGUCGUCGGUGCCGC
rnacentral:rRNA from 1 species